rnacentral:rRNA from 1 species
GGUAGGAAGAGCUUGCGUUGUUCUGAGACCGGCGCACGGGUGAGUAACGCGUAUGCAAUCUACCUUAUACAGGGGAAUAGCCCAGAGAAAUUUGGAUUAAUGCCCCAUGGUUUAUUGAGAUGGCAUCAUUUUAAUAAUAAAGAUUUAUCGGUAUAAGAUGAGCAUGCGUAUCAUUAGCUAGUUGGUGUGGUAACGGCAUACCAAGGCGACGAUGAUUAGGGGUCCUGAGAGGGAGAUCCCCCACACUGGUACUGAGACACGGACCAGACUCCUACGGGAGGCAGCAGUGAGGAAUAUUGGUCAAUGGAGGCAACUCUGAACCAGCCAUGCCGCGUGCAGGAUGACGGUCCUAUGGAUUGUAAACUGCUUUUGUACAGGAAGAAACAUUACUACGUGUAGUAACUUGACGGUACUGUAAGAAUAAGGAUCGGCUAACUCCGUGCCAGCAGCCGCGGUAAUACGGAGGAUCCGAGCGUUAUCCGGAAUUAUUGGGUUUAAAGGGUUCGUAGGCGGUUAGAUAAGUCAGUGGUGAAAUUUCCUAGCUUAACUAGGGCACUGCCAUUGAUACUGUUUGACUUGAAUAGUAUGGAAGUAACUAGAAUAUGUAGUGUAGCGGUGAAAUGCUUAGAUAUUACAUGGAAUACCAAUUGCGAAGGCAGGUUACUACGUACUUAUUGACGCUGAUGAACGAAAGCGUGGGGAGCGAACAGGAUUAGAUACCCUGGUAGUCCACGCCGUAAACGAUGGAUACUAGCUGUUCGGUCUUCGGAUUGAGUGGCUAAGCGAAAGUGAUAAGUAUCCCACCUGGGGAGUACGUUCGCAAGAAUGAAACUCAAAGGAAUUGACGGGGGCCCGCACAAGCGGUGGAGCAUGUGGUUUAAUUCUAUGAUACGCGAGGAACCUUACCAGGGCUUAAAUGUAGAUUGACAGAUUUGGAAACAGAUUUUUCUUCGGACAAUUUACAAGGUGCUGCAUGGUUGGCGUCAGCUCCUGCCGUGAGGGGUCAGGUUAAGUCCUAUAACGAACGCAACCCCUAUUGUUAUUUGCCAGCGAGUAAAGGCCGGGAACUUUAGCAA